AUGCAUGAUAAUGUUAAUAACAAUGAUAAACAAACAAAUGAUCUUGUUUUAUGUCUAUUUAAUGAAAAAAGUUUAUCUACUUGUACCGAUCCUGAAGAAAAAAAAAUAUUUUUUAGUAUAAAUAAUUUAUUUGAUAAAAAUAUUCAAGAUUUUAAUAUGUUUUUUAAUAUUAAUAUAGAAAAAGCACAAGAUAUAUCUUUAUAUAAAAUAAAAAUUACUAUUUUACCUUUAAUACAUAUAACAGAAUUAUUAAAUAAAAUUAUAAAUAAAAUUAUAAAAAAAAGAAAAAUGAAUAAUUCAAAAUUUUUAAUAGAUCUUAUAUAUAAAUUACAAGAAUAUUUAAAUGUAGAUGAUGUAAAUAAAACUGUACUUUUAUAUCUUUUAAAAAAUAUAACAACACCUCUAUUCGAUUUUAUUAAACAGUAUAUAUUUAAUGGAAAAGUAUGUGAUACAUAUAAUGAAUUUUUUAUACACGAAAAUAAACAUAUUACACCAUAUUACAGACAAAAUAAUAAUAAUAUAUCACUAUAUUAUAAUAAUAUUUAUAAAUAUAUUUUUAAAAAAUAUAUUGACUUAUCAACAAAUUAUUGGGGAGCUAAAUAUAUUCUACUAUAUAAAAAAGUACCUAUAUUUUUAAAAACAAUAUGUAAUCAAAUUUUUAUUACUGGAAAGUAUAUUGAUGUAUUGUUAACAUGUUCGAAAUUGUUUAUUAUAAAUAAGCAAAGGCGGAUUAAAACUGGUUACAUGGGUGCUAACAAUGCCAAUUAUCAUGAUGAUAACUAUAGCAAUACAACAACCAACUCGAUCUUACAUAACGACAACUUUUCCCAAAAUGAUCAACGAGCACCCGCAGGAGAUUGGAUGAGAAAAAACAUUCCUAACACUACGUUCAACAAUUUUUCUAAUAUGAAUAAUGGAAUUUAUAACACUGAUACAUAUUUCAAUAACAUUGUUUUCAAUAAUGGUAAAAAUUUUAUUGGAAAUAAUCCAUAUAUAACUACAAGAUCAAUUACAAAUAAAAAAUCAAAUCAAGACGAAAAUAAUAAUUUUUGUACUAACAUAAAUAAUCAACAUAAUAGUAAAACAUGCUAUUUAAUUUAUGAUUGUGAUAGAAAAAUAUAUGAAGAUAUUAUACAUAAUCAACAUUUAUAUGCAUCAAAACAAAUGUUUGAAUUAUAUAUAUUAAAAAUAAAUAUAACUGAAAAAUUAAGACAUCAUUAUUUCUUUUUCUUUUUACAAAUUAGUGAUUAUUUAAAAUAUUUUUAUAUUUUAGCUCAUGAAUAUCUUGAAAUGUUAUAUACAAAUAAAACAAAUAAUAUUUUAAAUAAAUUAAAAAAUUAUUUCGAUAUAUCUAUAAGAUCAUCCCUUUUAUACAAUUUAAAAUACAGAACAGAUUAUAACAUAGGAAUGUCUGAUAUACUUAACAUAACUGAUAAUGUUAAUUUAAUAAUUAAUUUGAAAUAUUGGAAUAUAACUAAUGAUCAAAAUGGAGAAAAUGGAGAAAAUGGAGAAAAUGGAUAUACAAAUAUAAAAAAUAAUAGUAAAUUAGAUGAAAAUCAAAUGUAUAAUAAUAAUUUCCAAGGUGUUAAUAUAAGUGGCAAUAGUGGUAAUACUGGAAAUAGUGGAAAUAAUGGAAAUAGUGGUAGUAAUAGUAGUAGUAGUGGUAAUAGUGACGAUGAUGAUGAUGAUGACGAUCCUAACGAUAGAAGAGCUUAUCGUAAUGGUGCUAAUAUAAUUAAUGAUAGUGCAUGUGAAGAUAAUACAAAGUAUAAUAAUACAUUAAGUAAUAAAAAUGUAAAAAAAAUAGAAAAAAAAAGAAGAAUUAAUAUAGCUAAAAGAAAUUUAACAAAUGUACAAACAAAUAUUAAUGUUGAAAUUUAUAAAGGAAUGGUAUUAUUAUAUCAUAAUAUUUUUCCAUAUAAUUUAAUUUUUAAUAAUAUAACUAUUUUUAAAUAUACACUUAUAUUUCGUGUAUUAAAUUAUUGUAAAUAUAUAGAACAUAAAUUAACAGAAGUAUGGAUUAAUCAUAUGUUUUUUAAAAAUAUAGAUAUACCAGAAGAAUGUAAAAACAAUUUAAUGAUAUGUAUACAUACAAGAGAAUGUAUGAUUCAUUUUUUAAAAUGUUAUAUUUACCAUAUUCAAAAUGAUGUUAUAAAAAUGGAGUAUAAUAAUAUGCUUACUAAAUUAAAAGAAACAUUUAUAUUUGAUGAUAUUAUACAUAUUCAUAAUAAAUAUUUGAAUAAUAUUUUAAAAUAUUGUUUUAUAAUUAAUUAUGAUAUUAUUAAUUGUAUUUUUAAAAUAAUUUCUAUUGCUCAUAUAUUUACAAGACAUAUAUUAAAAUUUAGUUUUAACAGAAGUGAACAAAUUGAAACAAUAACUUCGCAUAAUAAUGAUAUUACUAGUACAAAUACAUUAGAUCGAAAUAGUAAUUAUAAAAAAAAAAAUAAAUAG
ensembl:lncRNA